CUUACCAUUCAUGUAACCAAAAAACAUUUUUACAAUAUUUAAAAAAAAAAAAAACAUCUUGCAGAUGUAAUGCAGACGUCAACUAGACGUCUCCGUGAUGUUUUGUGUGCUAUCUGAGUAGAGCUGCAGAACAUCUACGUUUCCUAUCAGACAUCAAAUAGCCGUUUAGAAGAUGUCUUUAAGAAAUGUAUCAUUUAGAAUGCAUGUAAAACUGACAUCUUUUAGAGACGUCUAUCAGAUGUUUGUUAUGUUCAGACAUCUUGCAGACAUAGGCUACGUGUACAUCUGGGAUAGGAUACAGAUAAAGAGUUGAUUACUCUGUUUAAAAGACGAACAGACCUUCUGAAAUCACAACAAUACUGGGCCGAUUUAUGCUAAAUGGAAUUUAAUAUAAUAUGGCUCAUAAAUACAGGACGACUAAAGCAUACAAAAUAGUUGGUGUAAAUAUUAAUCGUUUAUAUUUGCAUGCUGCACAUAUAACAGUAACUGUCAUUGUUUGCGCUGCGAUAUUUGCAGUGUCGGGCUUUAAUGCAGGCGCGUGCGCGCGAGCGAGCCCCGUGACGUCACCGCGCCGCGGGUCUCGUGUGUUUACGUGGAGAAACAUGGCGGCGACGGUGACAGCGAAUCCCGAAUAAAACCCCGAGGAGAUCCCACAGAUUUACCGUCCGAGCCGAAGCGGGCGCACAUGUCAGCGCUCCGCGUUUAGCGCUAGGCGUGUCUGCGUGCGUGUGGCGCUUUUAUGACGCGCGUGUGUCCGUGUUUAAGCCGCAGGAACCGCGGAGAUGAUGGAAGACGAGGAGCGACAGAAGAAACUCCAGGCCGGCAAAGCCAAGCUGGCCGAGUACCGGCAGAGGAAAGCUCAAUCCGAUGGCCAGAAGAAGCAGAAGAAGAAGAAAAAGAAGCCGGAGGAGCAGGGAGGAGAUCAGAGCGUGUUUUCCCGCGGCGGAGAAGCCGUCACACACGACCAGACCUACACCAUAGAGGUGAGCAGAGAUGUGUUUGAGUAGCACUUCCUGUUUAUCCUAAUCCUAAUCAGAGCACACUUAAUAACUCUCAACUAGUGGCAGUUACAUUUAUUUUGUAUCAAAAAAAAAAAAACUAAAUUAAAGUUAAAUUUAGCCCGAAAACAGAAGAGUAAUCAUAUGUAAUUAAUAAUGAACACUCCAGUGGUUGAACACAAACAUGCUUUUUAAAUGAUGUGUUUGUUCUAAUUCAAACUGUUGUUGGAAAUAUAAACAUUUAAAGAUUUGUAACUUGUUAAUGAUGCUAGAAACAUGUUAUCUCAGUUUUUAAGGAGCUGUGGUGUUUCUGUCUGAAAUGCCUGUAUAGUAUGAUUUGAAAUCGCAGUGCUGCACAUGUUAUGAGUAUGGUUAUUUGUUUAUGAGUAUAACAACAUUAGAUUAAUCCCAGAUCUCUGUUUAUGUGAGCUCUGUAGCUUUAAUGGCAUUAUAAAGGUGCAUGUAAACGCGGUCAGUGUCGGAUCUGAGCAAGCGCUGUUGUUUGUGUUUGUGUGGAUGUUUCUGCAGGCUGUUGUUGUGGAGGAACUGCUGUAACUAAUGUUUAAAGGUGAAGUGUGUAAUUUCUGCGGCUCUGAAGGGAAUUGCAGAAAUAAUGACUCCAAACAAACACAGAGGCCAUGCAUUAUUGAAGAUAGUGAUAGAAAACAAGAUAGAAAAAUUAAGACUUUCAGCUCAGUGAUUAAAGGAGUCAUAUGAUGCGAUUUCAAGUUUUCCUUUCUCUUUGGAGUGUUACAAGCUCUUGGUGCAUGAAGAACGGUUCACUGUUUGGGAAGGUGCACGCUCCGUCACCGGUCCCGCUUUAGCGGGCGCAUUGACUUUAGGUUACUCACGUAAACCCGGUUCUCUGAUAACAUGAGGCGAUUCCCAAAUUGAGAUACCGAACGAAUGUUUGAAAGAGAACUCUUCGUCUGCACGUGCUUUGAAAUAGGAAUCGUUGCCAAUCUCAAACCUGCCAAUCUGAAGGAGACGCUGUGUAUGGUGUUU
ensembl:lncRNA